GUAAUUUAUUUUUUUUUGUUGUUUUCUUUUAUUUUCUCUAAAAUAUUUUGUUGUCAUUGUAUACUUUUUUGAUUUGAUUUUUUUUAUUAUAGUUUACUUGUACUGUGGGGGUUUAUUUUUUUUUUUUGUGAAGUUGAUUUUGUUUAUUGUACCUUGUGUAUCAGGGCUUACUAAAUUUUGUUAUUUAUUUUUAUUUCCCGAUUUUUGAUGAGCUAUUUAUUUAUGUCAGUUGCUGUUGUAAAAGCAUUGAUAAUAUUUUGUUGGUGGUGAUAUGUCAUUCGUAUCUUAUGGUAUCUGGUUCUCUGGGAAAUGAAUUUAAUUCAUGUAUUUUAUUUAAAGCUUCUUUUUUUUUAGUUUGUUUUAAUUUUUUGCAAGUGUUUUGGGGGCUUAGCUUUGAAUCAUAUUUUUAUAAUUUUUUUUUCUUAUUUAUUUUAGUGGGUCUUAUGGUGGCUUUCUUUUUAAGUGUGUUCAAAUUUUACUUUUUGGUUUUUUUCUUUUUGUGUUAUUUAAUUUUUUACUGGGGCUUUUGACUUAAUUUUUUCUUUUUUGUGAUAAUGGUGAGAUUAGUAUAUUUUUCUUUGUUUUGUUUUUUUAUUAUUUAUUUUUUUUUAAGGAAUUCGGCAAUUUUUAUGUCCGCCUGUUUAUCAAAAACAACUUCUCUUGCGAUUAUUUGAGGUAUGACCUGCCCGCUGAUUUUUUUUUGAAGGGCCGCGGUAUUUUGACCGUGCAAAGGUAGCAUAAUCAUUAGUCUUUUAAUUGUGGGCUGGAAUGAAUGGUUUGACGAGACGUUAGCUGUCUCUUUUUAAUUUAUUGAAUUUGGGUUUUAGGUAAAAAUACCUAAAUGUAUUUAUGGGACGAGAAGACCCUAUAGAGUUUUAUAUUAUUGGGAAUGUGAUUAAUGUUUUGUUUGGUUGUUUUAUUUUUUGUUUUAUUUUGUUGGGGCGAUUAGGAGAUUUAACUAACUCUUCUUUUUUUUUUCUAUUUAUUUGUAUUUUUUUGAUCCUUUAUUAUUGAUUUUAAGUUUAAAUUACCUUAGGGAUAACAGCGUUAUCUUCCCUGAAAGUUCUUAUUGACGGGCGGGUUUGCGACCUCGAUGUUGGAUUAGGGUGAAUUUAUGGUGUAGAAGCUUUAAUUUGAUUAGGUCUGUUCGACCUUUAAAACCUUACAUGAUCUGAGUUCAGACCGGUGUGAGCCAGGUUGGUUUCUAUCUAUAAUUGGUUUUUGUGAAUUAGUACGAAAGGACCAUUUACAAGGAAUAAUUUUUUGUCUUUGAUUUUCAUUAAUU
rnacentral:rRNA from 1 species